rnacentral:sRNA from 1 species
CCGGCCCUUUCCGCCAUCUCGCAAACGGGCGCUGGCUUCAGGAGAGGAUAACCGAUGGCCGUAAGCGCAGGCACACCGUAGUGCCUGCUAUCACGGCAUUAUCGCCAGCGGUGCUGCCGUGAUGCGGUCUUCGCAAGGACCGCAACAUGAAGGUACGAUACUUUUUGUGUCGUGCUUCUUGUUUCUGGCACGUUGUGUCUUCACGCAGACAGAAGCCACCCCAGGUAGCUCUGUUCCCCGUAACGCUCAACGUCCAGAGCAGGUAAGCCAGGAGGCCGCCCUGUUGGGCGGCUUUCUUU